GCAGUGGUCUUUCAAUGGUAGAAUUCUUGUCUUCCAUGAGGGAGAUCCAGGUUCGAUUCCUGGCCAAUACA
rnacentral:tRNA from 1 species